GUGCCAGCCGCGGCGGUAAUACGUAGGUCCCGAGCGUUGUCCGGAUUUAUUGGGCGUAAAGCGAGCGCAGGUGGUUUAUUAAGUCUGGUGUAAAAGGCAGUGGCUCAACCAUUGUAUGCAUUGGAAACUGGUAGACUUGAGUGCAGGAGAGGAGAGUGGAAUUCCAUGUGUAGCGGUGAAAUGCGUAGAUAUAUGGAGGAACACCGGUGGCGAAAGCGGCUCUCUGGCCUGUAACUGACACUGAGGCUCGAAAGCGUGGGGGAGCAAACAGGAUUAGAUACCCUGGUAGUCCACGCCGUAAAACGAUGAGUGCUAGAUGUAGGGAGCUAUAAAGUUCUCUGUAUCGCAGCUAACGCAAUAAGCACUCCGCCUGGGGGAGUACGACCGCAAGGUUG
rnacentral:rRNA from 1 species